rnacentral:rRNA from 1 species
GACGAACGCUGGCGGCGUGCUUAACACAUGCAAGUCGAACGGAAAGGCCCGGCUUUUGUGGGGUGCUCGUGUGGCGAACGGGGGAGUAACACGUGUGUAACCUGUCCUUGACUUUGGGAGAUCUUCAGGAAACAGGGGCGAAUAUCGCGGAGAAGCUACUGCUGCAUGGGGGGGGUUGGUGAGUUUCGGCGGUGGGGGAUGGACUCGCGGCUUAUCAGCUUGUUGGUGGGGUAGUGGCUUACCAAGGCUUUGACGGGUAGCCGGCCUGGGCGGGUGACCGGCCACAUUGGGACUGAGAUACGGCCCAGACUCCUACGGGAGGCAGCAGUGGGGAAUAUUGCACAAUGGGCGGAAGCCUGAUGCAGCAACGCCGCGUGCGGGAUGACGGCCUUCGGGUUGUAAACCGCUUUCGCCUGUGACGAAGCGUGAGUGACGGUAAUGGGUAAAGAAGCACCGGCUAACUACGUG